GGGAAAGUGGCUCAGUGGUAGAGCGCUCGCCUCGCGUGCAGGAGGCCCUGGGUUCCAUUCCUCAGUCCCA
rnacentral:tRNA from 1 species